rnacentral:rRNA from 1 species
GACGAACGCUGGCGGCGUGCCUAAUACAUGCAAGUCGAGCGGACAGAUAAGGAGCUUGCUCCUUUGAAGUCAGCGGCGGACGGGUGAGUAGCACGUGGGCAACCUGCCUAUAAGACUGGGAUAACUCCGGGAAACCGGGGCUAAUACCGGAUAGAUUCUUUCCUCUCAUGAGGAAAGAAGGAAAGACGGUUUCGGCUGUCACUUAUAGAUGGGCCCGCGGCGCAUUAGCUAGUUGGUAAGGUAACGGCUUACCAAGGCGACGAUGCGUAGCCGACCUGAGAGGGUGAUCGGCCACACUGGGACUGAGACACGGCCCAGACUCCUACGGGAGGCAGCAGUAGGGAAUCUUCCGCAAUGGACGAAAGUCUGACGGAGCAACGCCGCAUGAACGAAGAAGGCCUUCGGGUCGUAAAACUCUGUUGUCAGGGAAGAACAAGUACCGGAGUAACUGCCGGUACCUUGACGGUACCUGACCAGAAAGCCACGGCUAACUACGUGCCAGCAGCCGCUGUAAUAC